CCUACGGUGAGCUGCAGUGAGGAAUAUUGGUCAAUGGACGAGAGUCUGAACCAGCCAAGUCGCGUGAAGGAUGACUGCCCUAUGGGUUGUAAACUUCUUUUAUAUGGGAAUAAAAUGUUCCACGUGUGGGAUUUUGUAUGUACCAUAUGAAUAAGGAUCGGCUAACUCCGUGCCAGCAGCCGCGGUAAUACGGGGGAUCCGCGCGUUAUCCGGAUUGAGUUGGCUUAAAGGGAGCGUAGGUGGAUUGUUAAGUCAGUUGUGAAAGUUUGCGGCUCAACCGUAAAAUUGCAGUUGAAACUGGCAGUCGUGAGUGCAGUAGAGGUGGGCGGAAUUCGUGGUGUAGCGGUGAAAUGCUUAGAUAUCACGAAGAACUCCGAUUGCGAAGGCAGCUCACUGGACUGCAACUGACACUGAGGCUCGAAAGUGUGGGUAUCAAACAGGAUUAGAUACCCUUGUAGUC
rnacentral:rRNA from 1 species